UACGUAGGUGGCAAGCGUUGUCCGGAUUUACUGGGCGUAAAGGGCGUGCAGGCGGUUUGUUAAGUGCAGGGUGAAAGCUCCCGGCUCAACUGGGAGAGGUCCUUGCAUACUGGCAAACUCGAGGGAGGCAGAGGAAAGUGGAAUUCCCGGUGUAGUGGUGAUAUGCGUAGAUAUCGGGAGGAACACCUGUGGCGAAGGCGGGUCUCUGGGCCGAAAUUGACGCUGAGGAGCGAAAGCGUGGGGAGCAAACAGGAGUAGAAACCCGGAUUAAGACCCCAGGUCUACGCUCAGACUACCGUAAUCGACCCGGA
rnacentral:rRNA from 1 species